rnacentral:rRNA from 1 species
AUUGAACGCUGGCGGCAGGCCUAACACAUGCAAGUCGAGCGGAGCGGCGGACGGGUGAGUAAUGCCUAGGAAUCUGCCUGGUAGUGGGGGAUAACGUCCGGUAACGGGCGCUAAUACCGCAUACUAUCAGAUGAGCCUAGGUCGGAUUAGCUAGUUGGUGGGUUAAAGGCCUACCAAGGCGACGAUCCGUAACUGGUCUGAGAGGAUGAUCAGUAAAACUGGAACGGAGACACGGUCCAGAAUGCGACGGGAGGAAGCAGUGGGGAAUAUUGGACAAUGGGCGAAAGCCUGAUACAGCCAUGCCGCGUGUGUGAAGAAGGGCUUCGGAGUGUAAAGCACGUUAAGUUGGGAGGCGUUACCAACAGAAUAAGCACCGGCUAACUUCGUGCCAGCAGCCGCGGUAAUUC